GACGAACGCUGGCGGCGUGCCUAAUACAUGCAAGUCGAGCGAACAGAUGAGGAGCUUGCUCCUCUGACGUUAGCGGCGGACGGGUGAGUAACACGUGGAUAACCUACCUAUAAGACUGGGAUAACUUCGGGAAACCGGAGCUAAUACCGGAUAAUAUAUUGAACCGCAUGGUUCAAUAGUGAAAGACGGUUUUGCUGUCACUUAUAGAUGGAUCCGCGCCGCAUUAGCUAGUUGGUAGGGUAACGGCUUACCAAGGCAACGAUGCGUAGCCGACCUGAGAGGGUGACCGGCAAAAGUGGGAAUGAGAUACGGCGCAGACUGCUACGGGAGGAAGAAGGGGGGAAUAUUGCAAAAGGGGAGGAAGCAUGAUGAAGCAACGCCGCGGGCGGGAUGACGGCCUUCGGGUUGUAAACCGCUUUCGCCUGUGACGAAGCGUGAGUGACGGUAAUGGGUAAAGAAGCACCGGCUAACUACGUG
rnacentral:rRNA from 1 species